rnacentral:rRNA from 1 species
UACGAAGGGGGCUAGCGUUGUUCGGAAUUACUGGGCGUAAAGCGUGCGCAGGCGGUCUUCCAAGUCAGUGGUGAAAGCCCGGAGCUCAACUCCGGAACUGCCAUUGAAACUGUGAGACUCGAGUACGAGAGAGGUGAGUGGAAUUCCCAGUGUAGAGGUGAAAUUCGUAGAUAUUGGGAAGAACACCAGUGGCGAAGGCGGCUAUCUGGACGGUUUCUGACACUAAGACUCGAAAGCGUGGGGAGCAAACAGG